rnacentral:sRNA from 12 species
GCUUUCAACAUCCCCGUUCCGGGACGCAUCAGCGCCGUCGGGACUGAAGGC